GUGGGAAGUAGGUUUUGGUGGAGGGGAAAGCCAUGAAGGUCCUGUGGGAAGACUGAGUUGGGUGCAUCCUGGCUGGGAGGUGUAGAGAGCCCGCCGUCGCCCCGCCGUCCAUCGGAAGCGCGAGAACCAGAGCGCGGUCAGUCUGGGACAGAGACAUCUUCACUGAGCUGUGGCCUCGCUCCUGUCUUCCCGGCUGUGGGCAAAGACGCCCGGAAACCCGGGGUGCCGCCAGAGGGCGCCGCUGCGUUUCAACUCGCCUAGGUACUGGGCUUAUCUUGGAUUUACAGCCCAUUUGUUCCCUUAAGUCCCAAAGCCUCACAUUUUUAAGUGUUUACUGUAUGGACAAAAGUAUCUGAUUUGUACUGUCGUAUUAUAAUGGAUUUGAUGUGUUAUUUUGACACUGCCAAUUUA